AGAGGUCCCAAGCGUUGUUCGGAUUUACUGGGCGUAAAGGGUGCGUAGGCGGCUAGAAAAGUUUGAUGUGAAAUCUCCGGGCUUACCCCGGAAACUGCAUUGAAAACUAUCUGGCUAGAGGAUCGGAGAGGAGAUUGGAAUUCUCGGUGUAGCAGUGAAAUGCGUAGAUAUCGAGAGGAACACCAGUUGCGAAGGCGGAUCUCUGGACGGUUUCUGACGCUGAGGCACGAAAGCUGGGGUAGCGAAGAGGAUUAGAUACCCUCGUAGUCCCAGCCGUAAACGGUGCACACUUGCUGUGGGCGGAUUCGACCCCGUCCGUGGCGAAGCUAACGCGAUAAGUGUGCCGCCUGGGGAGUACGGUCGCAAGAUUAAAACUCAAAGAAAUUGACGGGGGCCUGCACAAGCGGUGGAGUAUGUGGCUUAAUUCGAUGCAACGCGAAGAACCUUACCUGGCCUUGACAUGUAGUGGCCCGGGUGCGAAAUCACCCUUUUCUUCGGAACUGCUACACAGGUGCUGCAUGGCUGUCGUCAGCUCGUGUCGUGAGAUGUUGGGUUAAGUCCCGCAACGAGCGCAACCCCCGUGUUCUGUUGCCACCCGGAUGUAAAUCCGGAGCACUCUGGACAGACUGCCUGGUUUCAACUAGGAGGAAGGUGGGGAUGACGUCAAGUCAGUAUGGCCCUUACGGCCAGGGCUGCACACGUACUACAAUGCCUGAUAUAAUGGGAAGCAAGACCGCGAGGUGGAGCAAAUCCUCAAAAUCAGGCCCAGUUCAGAUUGUAGGCUGCAACUCGCCUACAUGAAGGAGGAAUCGCUAGUAAUGCCGUAUCAGCUACGACGGCGUGAAUACGUUCCCAGGCCUU
rnacentral:rRNA from 1 species